GUUUGAUCCUGGCUCAGGACAAACGCUGGCGGCGUGCUUAACACAUGCAAGUCGAACGGUCUCCCUUUGGGGAGAUAGUGGCGGACGGGUGAGUAACACGUAGUUGACCUGCCCAAUCGUGGGGAAUAACUGCCCGAAAGGGUAGCUAAUACCGCAUAAGCUCACAGGGGUUGCCCUGUGAGGAAACCUUGGUCUUCGGAUCUGGGGCGAAUGGAGGGGACUGCGGCGGAUUAGCUAGAUGGUGGGGUAACGGCCUACCAUGGCGACGAUCCGUAGCUGGUCUGAGAGGACGACCAGCCACACUGGGACUGAGACACGGCCCAGACUCCUACGGGAGGCAGCAGUGAGGAAUAUUCCACAAUGGGCGAAAGCCUGAUGGAGCGACGCCGCGUGAGGGAUGAAGCCUUUUGGGGUGUAAACCUCUUUUUUGGGGGAUGAAACGCACGGUGCAUAACCGGGCUAAGACAGUACCCCAAGAAUAAGCAUCGGCUAACUACGUGCCAGCAGCCGCGGUAAUAA
rnacentral:rRNA from 1 species